rnacentral:rRNA from 1 species
GACGAACGCUGGCGGCGGGCUUAACACAUGCAAGUCGAAGGGAAAGGCCCUGCGUGGGUGGGAAGCUGGAGUGGCGAACGGGAGGGUAACACGAGAGAAACCUGCCAUGGAGUUUGGGAUAACUUCAGUAAAUUGGUGCUAAUUCCGAUUAUGAGCUCCUGUUGCUUGAUGGGGGUUGGAACGUUUCGGCGGGUGGGGAUGGACUCGCGGCUGAUCAGCGUGUUGGUGGGGUCGCGGCUUACCAAGGCUUGGACGGGUAGCCGGCCUGAGAGGGUGACCGACCAAAUUGGGACUGAGAUACGGCACAGAGUCCUACGGGAGGCAGCAGUGGGGAAUAAUGCCCAAUGGGCGGAAGCCUGAUGCAGCAACGCCGCGUGCGGGAUGACGGCCUUCGGGUUGUAAGCCGCUUUAGCCUGUGACGAAGCGUGAGUGACGGUAAUGGGUAAAGAAGCACCGGCUAACUACGUG